rnacentral:rRNA from 1 species
UGGGGAAUAUUGCACAAUGGGCGCAAGCCUGAUGCAGCCAUGCCGCGUGUAUGAAGAAGGCCUUCGGGUUGUAAAGUACUUUCAGCGUGGAGGAAGGCGAUAAGGUUAAUAACCUUGUCGAUUGACGUUACCCGCAGAAGAAGCACCGGCUAACUCCGUGCCAGCAGCCGCGGUAAUACGGAGGGUGCAAGCGUUAAUCGGAAUUACUGGGCGUAAAGCGCACGCAGGCGGUCUGUCAAGUCGGAUGUGAAAUCCCCGGGCUCAACCUGGGAACUGCAUUCGAAACUGGCAGGCUAGAGUCUUGUAGAGGGGGGUAGAAUUCCAGGUGUAGCGGUGAAAUGCGUAGAGAUCUGGAGGAAUACCGGUGGCGAAGGCGGCCCCCUGGACAAAGACUGACGCUCAGGUGCGAAAGCGUGGGGAGCAAACA